rnacentral:rRNA from 1 species
CCUACGGGGGGCAGCAGUGGGGAAUAUUGCACAAUGGGCGGAAGCCUGAUGCAGCGACGCCGCGUGGGGGAUGAAGGCCUUCGGGUUGUAAACUCCUUUCGACAGGGACGAAGCUUUUUGUGACGGUACCUGUAUAAGAAGCACCGGCUAACUACGUGCCAGCAGCCGCGGUAAUACGUAGGGUGCGAGCGUUGUCCGGAAUUACUGGGCGUAAAGAGCUCGUAGGUGGUUUGUCGCGUCGUCUGUGAAAUUCCGGGGCUUAACUCCGGGCGUGCAGGCGAUACGGGCUGACUUGAGUGCUGUAGGGGAGACUGGAAUUCCUGGUGUAGCGGUGAAAUGCGCAGAUAUCAGGAGGAACACCGAUGGCGAAGGCAGGUCUCUGGGCAGUUACUGACGCUGAGGAGCGAAAGCAUGGGUAGCGAACAGGAUUAG